UUAGUUAUGUAACUUGCAAAUGUGAAAAAAAUGAGGUAAGUAAAACUUUGAGUAGCAAUCUGUGCACAUUAACUCUAGAUAUGAAUUUUCUUUUGUUUAAAAAGAAGAAGAAGAUGGAAUAAUACUACUACUGUAGUUGAGGGUGUCCACGUGGUAAAGAUCCGGGAUGGGUCCUCACACGGAGGACUAUGAGGAUCGUCCCCACAUAAUUUUUUUCCUGUAUGUAUGCCUAGAGCGAGCCCUAGACCAUCCACCCAUCCACCCGUCAAGAUGGAUUUAGGAGUCUAGUUUCUUCUUAUAAUAUAAAGCCACUUAGCUAGUUCCUUCUAGGUUAAUCUAGUUUUUUAUUUUAUUAACAAAAGUUGUGCUUCAAUAAUUAAGGGUGGUCAGUGGGUGCGGGAGCAAUGGACACCCUAACUCCGUGCGUGUGUGCAUCCAAAUGGCAUCCGGCAUCUCCGAUGAUUCUUCCUACCCACCACUCCAUAGGAAUUUCAAUUCAAAUAAAUCAUGCUGAUAAAUACACAAUAUCACGCUCACUGCACCUUGGUUAAAUCUCAUUAGUCAGCUACAGUAGUAGUAUUAUUC
rnacentral:lncRNA from 1 species